AAAGGAAUAGACGGGAGCCCGCACAAGCAGUGGAGUAUGUGGUUUAAUUCGACGCAACGCGAAAAACCUUACCAAGGAUUGACAUCUCAAGAAGUCGGCGUAAUGGCUGAUGUGCCUCUUCGGAGGAACUUGAAGACAGGUGGUGCAUGGUUGUCGUCAGCUCGUGUCGUGAGAUGUUGGGUUAAGUCCCGCAACGAGCGCAACCCUUACUGUUAGUUGCUACGCAAGAGCACUCUGGCAGGACUGCCGUUGACAAAACGGAGGAAGGUGGGGACGACGUCAAAUCAUCAUGCCCCUUAUAUCUUGGGCUACACACGUACUACAAUGGCGCUAAACAAAGGGCAGCAACCCCGCGAGGGUGAGCAAAUCCCACAAAGAGCGCCCCAGUUCAGACUGCAGGCUGCAACUCGCCUGCACGAAGUUGGAAUUGCUAGUAAUCGCGAAUCAGCAUGUCGCGGUGAAUACGUUCCCGGGCUUUGUACACACCGCCCGU
rnacentral:rRNA from 1 species